AGCUACAGGCUUAACACAUGCAAGUCGAGGGGCAGCAUUUUAGUUUGCUUGCAAACUAAAGAUGGCGACCGGCGCACGGGUGAGUAACACGUAUCCAACCUGCCGAUAACUCGGGGAUAGCCUUUCGAAAGAAAGAUUAAUAUCCGAUAGUAUAUUAAAACCGCAUGGUUUUACUAUUAAAGAAUUUCGGUUAUCGAUGGGGAUGCGUUCCAUUAGUUUGUUGGCGGGGUAACGGCCCACCGAGACUACGAUGGAUAGGGGUUCUGAGAGGAAGGUCCCCCACAUUGGAACUGAGACACGGUCCAAACUCCUACGGGAGGCAGCAGUGAGGAAUAUUGGUCAAUGGACGAGAGUCUGAACCAGCCAAGUAGCGUGAAGGAUGACUGCCCUAUGGGUUGUAAACUUCUUUUAUAUGGGAAUAAAGUAUUCCACGUGUGGGAUUUUGUAUGUACCAUAUGAAUAAGGAUCGGCUAACUCCGUGCCAGCAGCCGCGGUAAUACGGAGGAUCCGAGCGUUAUCCGGAUUUAUUGGGUUUAAAGGGAGCGUAGGUGGAUUGUUAAGUCAGUUGUGAAAGUUUGCGGCUCAACCGUAAAAUUGCAGUUGAAACUGGCAGUCUUGAGUACAGUAGAGGUGGGCGGAAUUCGUGGUGUAGCGGUGAAAUGCUUAGAUAUCACGAAGAACUCCGAUUGCGAAGGCAGCUCACUAGACUGCAACUGACACUGAUGCUCGAAAGUGUGGGUAUCAAACAGGAUUAGAUACCCUGGUAGUCCACACAGUAAACGAUGAAUACUCGCUGUUUGCGAUAUACAGUAAGCGGCCAAGCGAAAGCAUUAAGUAUUCCACCUGGGGAGUACGCCGGCAACGGUGAAACUCAAAGGAAUUGACGGGGGCCCGCACAAGCGGAGGAACAUGUGGUUUAAUUCGAUGAUACGCGAGGAACCUUACCCGGGCUUAAAUUGCAUUUGAAUAAUCUGGAAACAGGUUAGCCGCAAGGCAAAUGUGAAGGUGCUGCAUGGUUGUCGUCAGCUCGUGCCGUGAGGUGUCGGCUUAAGUGCCAUAACGAGCGCAACCCUUAUCUUUAGUUACUAACAGGUCAUGCUGAGGACUCUAGAGAGACUGCCGUCGUAAGAUGUGAGGAAGGUGGGGAUGACGUCAAAUCAGCACGGCCCUUACGUCCGGGGCUACACACGUGUUACAAUGGGGGGUACAGAAGGCAGCUACCUGGCGACAGGAUGCUAAUCCCAAAAACCUCUCUCAGUUCGGAUCGAAGUCUGCAACCCGACUUCGUGAAGCUGGAUUCGCUAGUAAUCGCGCAUCAGCCAUGGCGCGGUGAAUACGUUCCCGGGCCUUGUACACACCGCCCGUCAAGCCAUGAAAGCCGGGGGUACCUGAAGUACGUAACCGCAAGGAGCGUCCUAGGGUAAAACUGGUAAUUGGGGCUAAGUCAUAACA
rnacentral:rRNA from 1 species